UACGUAGGCAGCGAGCGUUGUUCGGAGUUACUGGGCGUAAAGGGUGUGUAGGCGGUUGUUUAAGUUUGGUGUGAAAUCUCCCGGCUCAACUGGGAGGGUGCGCCGAAUACUGAAUGACUUGGAGUGCGGGAGAGGAGAGUGGAAUUCCUGGUGUAGCGGUGAAAUGCGUAGAUAUCAGGAGGAACACCGGUGGUGUAGACGGCUCUCUGGACCGUAACUGACGCUGAGACACGAAAGCGUGGGUAGCAAGCAGG
rnacentral:rRNA from 1 species